GACGUGCUAGAACAACUUCAAACAACAACAGUACUAAUCGCUCUGCCCUAUACUCUGCCAGCAUGCAUUUCUAUGCAAGUCUGGGACAGUGUUUUGACUCUGCACUCAACUGUGUGCACUGUAGAAAUAUUAUAGGCAAGGCUUUAUGGUGCAUGCUCGGAACAGAAAAGUUUCUACCCCCAAAAGACCUGGCAGGGGGAAAGGAUGAUGCUUUGAAUCACCCUAAGGCUUAAAUUAGCCUAGAAGAAGGGAGAAUUCAUGGACAAGACAUAUCUGAGCCGGGAUUUGAAAGCUGACAAUCAAUGUGGCUCCCAAGGGAGAAGUCAAAAUGCUGAGUAACCCUAGAGGCAAGAGGCGUGUCCUACUCCAGGUGACACUCAUCAGAUGCUUAGAAAAGGAAGAAUGGGGUAAUAGGUCAAUCUGAGGCCAUCAAACAUCGAAGUUCUAAAAGUUGUACCAUGCCUAGGGCUUGUCUCCAUUCGUUUGACCUCAAAGAUUGGCAUAUGCCCCCACCUCUUCCGGCAUGAAUUAGAGGGGCUGCAGAGGAGCAUGUGACUUCAUAGCAGAAGAGGAAAGAAUGUGCAUAAACAAGAGCUGGAUUUGCCCUCGCUGACCCAAUCCUAUAUCCACAGCACAUUCGGCACACUGAAUGUGACAUCUAACUCAAGAGGAGGCUGCCACUCUCCUAUUCUCUCUGGAAGCUAGAGUCUUAAAGAACAGUACUGUGCCUGAAUUUGAAACAAGCUCAAGGGCUGGAGAGAUGGCUCAGUGGUUAAGAGCACUGGCUGCUUGCUCUUCCAGAGGUCCUGAGUUCAAUUCCCAGCAACCACAUGGUGGUUCGCAACCAUCUGUAAUGGGAUCUGAUGCCCUCUUCUGGUGUGUCUGAAAACAGCUACAGUGUACUCAUAUAAAUGAAAUAAAUCUUUAAAAAAGAAAAAGAAGGAAGGAAGGAAGGAAGGA